CUUGAUUCAUGAUGAAGAUCAGCCCCGCAUUGAUCUAUCUCUAGUUCUCAUUGUUUCAAUGUGAAAGAGAUGAAAAAUAUAUGAGAAUAAGCAAAGAGCGAAUGCAACACAAUCAUUAUUACCGAUUACAAAAAAGUUGUGUGAAGAGUGCCAUACAUUUUAUUGCGAAAUGAAGAUACCAAAGUGUUGUUCUCCACCUUACUAAUUUGAUAGAUUUAAAUAGAGUGGAGACAACUUAUUGAACUCAUAGCGCUUUUAGUCA